rnacentral:lncRNA from 1 species
CUCCUGCCACGUCCUGGGCGCUGGUGGGGCGAUGGGAGGCGAGGUCGAGGGAAGAUUGGGUGCUGGGGGUGGUAUUCCAGAGUGGGAGACUUGGCAGGAUUUCUUUCAGAGAAUUCCAACAAAAUCGGGGGAAGGAUUCAUUCUGCUCUCUAGGGCAGAAAGAGAAUGGAAGGUCUGAAGGCUUGCAGAAAUAAAUGUGUGACCUGAAAGAACGAAGCAGAGAGGACUCAAGUGCAGAAAGGAUUGAUUUCAGAAAAUCUCCAGCUUAAGAAGAGAAUAAUGAACGCAUUCCCAGGAGGAGCUCAAGGCUUCAAAGGUAUGCUCUGCUUCAAGCCCCGGGGAAUGUCACCGUGGACCCUUUACGUGUCUGAGAAGUCCUCCCUAGAACAGAAAGCCUGGCCAAUGGAGAAGUGGAAUGCGCGCUGUCCAGGGAAACAGAACCCUUGCUUCCAGCAUUUGGAACUGACAGUGUGAAUGAGAUAUUUUA